rnacentral:rRNA from 1 species
GAAGGUGGCUAGCGUUGUUCGGUGUCACUGGGCUUAAAGCGUGUGUAGGCGGAAGAGUAAGCGCUCUGUGAAAGCCCCCGGCUUAACCGGGGAAUUGCGCGGCGAACUACUUUUCUUGAGCCAAGUAGGGGUGCAUGGAACUCUUGGUGGAGCGGUGGAAUGCGUAGAUAUCAAGAGGAACGCCGGAGGUGAAAACGAUGCACUGGGCUUGCGCUGACGCUGAGACACGAAAGCGUGGGGAGCGAACGGGAUUAGAUACCCCGGUAGUCCACGCCGUAAACGAUGUCUACUAGGUCGCGGGAGUUCUGACACUUUCGAGACCGAAGCAAAAGUGCUAAGUAGACCGCCUGGGGAGUACGGUCGCAAGGCUA